CCUACGGGUGGCAGCAGUGGGGAAUAUUGGGCAAUGGGCGCAAGCCUGACCCAGCGACGCCGCGUGAAGGAAGAAGGCUUUCGGGUUGUAAACUUCUUUUAAUAUGGAAGCGCAUAAGACGGUACCUCUUGAAUAAGCCACGGCUAACUACGUGCAAGCAGCCGCGGUAAUACGUAGGUAGCACGCGUUGUCCGGAUGUACUGGGUGUAAAUGACGUGCAGCCGGGAAGACAAGUCAGAUGUGAAAUCCCGCGGCUCAACCGCGGAACUGCAUUUGAAACUGUUUUUCUUGAGUACCGGAGAGGUCAUCGGAAUUCUUUGUGUAGCAGUGAAAUGCGUAGAUAUAAGGAAGAACACCAGUGGCGAAGGCGGAUGACUGGACGGCAACUGACGGUGAGGCGCGAAAGCGUGGGGAGCAAACAGGAUUAGAUACCCCAGUAGUC
rnacentral:rRNA from 1 species